ACCAAACGUCGAGUUAAGGGGCCUAAACGAAUGCUCAUUCAGAUCCCAUCGAAAGGUGUUGGUUGCUAUAGACAGCAGGACGGUGGCCAUGGAAGUUGGAAUCCGCUAAGGAGUGUGUAACAACUCACCUGCCGAAGCAACUAGCCCUUAAAAUGGUAUGGCGCUAAAGCAUUCUCCCGAUACUCGACCGCCGGGGCAUUACCGACCGAACGAGCGGCCUYAUCAUCAUYAGGUCGUUCAGGUCUCGAAGCCCCGGCGAGUAGGAGGGUCGYGGUGGUGUGCGCUGAAGGGUUCGGCGUGAGCCGGCCUGGAGCCUCCACCRGUGCAGAUCUUGGUGGUAGUAGCAAAUAAUCGAGAGAGACUCCCUUGAAGGCCGAAGUGGAGAAGGGUUCCAUGUGAACAUCAGUUGGACAUGGGUUAGUCGCUCCUAAGCCCAAGGCGAAAGCCUGAUCCCACGUGAGAGGCAACGACCACACGAAGACGAUGAUUGAUUGAGUCGGUCACUACUGAGGCAGGCAGGCAGGGCUGAUCUGGUAGUCAGGAAUGCUCGUCCGUCCGUAGUAGACCUUCAUGUAUAACAGUUGCCAGAGGGAUUAGUGGCGAAAGGGAAUACGGUCAUUAUUCCGUAACCAGGACCCGGAUACCUAGCAGGUGUAAGCGCCCUUGCCUCCGGGCAGGGGAAUGCUGCCCUGUGCAGGACCCCGGUAACGGGAACCAGCUCGCGUCCGUCGGCGGUGGUCCGGGAAAGAGUUUUCUUUUCUGUUUAAGGCGCCGUGACCCUGGAAGCCAUUCGCGGAGAGAAAGGGUGCUUGUAACACGGUAAGCCGUAGAGCGCCGCGGUUCUUGCGGCGUCCCGCGCGCCACCGCCGGCCCGUGAAACAUGCGAGGGAGGUAACUGAGGUAAAGCGGACUCGACCAAAGUCCGCGACGCCUACUUUCGGGCCAGUGCGUACCCAUAUCCGCAGCCGGUCUCCGAGGUAAGAAGCCUCUGGUCGAUAGAUUAAUGUAGGUAA
rnacentral:rRNA from 1 species